rnacentral:miRNA from 1 species
AGAGUCCAAGUUAUUGGACGGUGACCUCAGUGUGGCCAUUAGUGUGUGUGUGUGUGUGUGUGUGUGUGUGUGCGCUCUAGCCCAUACAGACAGGGGGACACAGAACAUGAUAU